ensembl:lncRNA
UGUGUGUGUGUGUGUGUGUGUGUGUGUGAUCAAACACAAUAGCUCCCAGUCGUAUCCGUAUAAAACAAUACACAGGAACAGGAAUCAGAUAGUUCUCCCACUCAUCUCCUCCUCCCCCUUUCCUCCCAUCUCCAUCACCCUGGGCCUCUACCUAUCUGAUGAGUAUUAAAAUUAUUUUUAAUGCUGCAGUUAAAAUUAGCAGUAAUGGAGGAAGAAAGCUGUCUACUGCCACAAAUGAUUGAUGCACAGGCAUUAAACUUCAUAAUGCAGAGAUUGAUCUUUCAGGAGACUGAAAAGAUUUGGCAUGGGUCCUCAGAUUCUCAAAAGGUUCUACAGCUGCACCAUCGAGAGCAUCCGACCGCAAGGCACUACGGAGGGUAGUGCGUACGGCCCAGUACAUCACUAGGCCAAGCUUCCUGCCAUCCAGGACCUCUAUACCAGGCGGUGUCAGAGGAAGGCCCUAAAAAUGGUCAAAGACUCCAGCCACCCUAGUCUCUCUGCUAUCGCACGGCAAGAGGUACUGGAGAGCCAAGUCUAGGUCCAAGAGGAUUUUAAACAGCUUCUUGCCCCAAGCAAUAACACUCCUGAACAUCUAAUCAAAUGGCUUCCCAGAUUAUUUGCAUUGCCCCCCACUAUUUUAUGCUGCUGCUACUCUCUGUUAUUAUCUAUGCAUAGUCACUUUAAUAACUCUACCUACAUGUACAUAUCACCUCAAUUACCUCGACUAACCGGUGCCACCGCACAUUGACUCUGUACCCCUGUAUAUAGCCUCGCUAUUGUUUUUUACUGCUGCUCUUUAAUUAUUGGUUACUUUUUUUUAUUUAAAUUUUUUUUUUUUUAUUAAAUCGCCAUUAUUGGUUAAGGUCUUGUAAGUAAGCAUUUCAUUGUAAGGUCUACAGCAGUUUUAUUUGGCGUAUGUGACAAAUAUGAUUUGAUUUGAUUUGAUUUGAUUGCUCUAAGGCAAAGCAGUUGCAUCCUUUUUGAUCUUGAGGAAUGAAUGAAUAUCUUGGAUAUUGACUAUGCCAGAGAAUAGUAUAAAUAUAGCUUAUAAUGCCAGUGGAGGCUCCUCAGAUGAGGAAAGGGAGGACCAUCCUACUCACUGAAUUUCAGAAACAUUUUAAUAGUGAAAGAUUUUAAAAAGUUAUCCUUUUUAGAAAGAACUAUACUAAAUGUAUUCACAUAACCAAAUAACUGAUUAAAACAUUCUGUUUUGCAAUGAAAGUCUACUGUAGCCUCAAUAACACUCGCUUAGGUACAUUGACUUCAAUACAAAACCGAGGAGGCUCAUGGUUCUCACCCGAUUCCAUAGACUUACACAGUAAUUAUUAUAAUUAGGGCAUCCUAAAACCCAUCAGAGCUCUUGCAGCAUGAUCUGACGUUGUUCAUACAAUCAAUGGAAUUAAUCUAGUACUGAAAGCAUAAGCUACAGCUAGCUAGCACUGCAUGCAUUAUACAGUUACAUUCGGAAGUUUACA